UCUGUCUAUCUCUAACUCUCUCUCUCUCUCUCUCAUGUAUUGUUGGACACGUUGUUUCCCUUUUCCUCUCUUGUUGUGCUUGCAGGUUCACCAAACCCAUCUCACCGGACCCGUGUCAGUGACGUCACCCAUCCAUCUGUCUGUCCAUCCCUCUGUUCGUCCAUCCAUCCACUCAUCGAUCCAGUACCAGGCAGCAGAGAUUUGACUGAGUUGAACUGACUGGCCUCCACCAUCAUCAAUCGAUCCUGCAGUUCUGUCGAGAAAUCCUCAUUCAGCUGAUGAUUGACUGGAUUAAAGAUUCAAGAUUCAAAGUU